rnacentral:lncRNA from 1 species
UGGGAGAAAAUUUUACCCUAAUAAAAACAAUGAAAGCCACAAGUACACAGCUGAUCAGUUGUAGUACUUAGGGAUAGAAUCCACAAGGAAGAAUGAUAUUUUCUACAAAAACUUUUAAAAGAUAUUGAAGUAAAGAAGUCUAGAACUUAAUCGAAUUUAUAGGGUUUGGAUGUCACUUAAAAACGUAAAUUCUAAACUAAACAGGAAAAGGAAAAGUGCUUAACAAAAUCAAUUGGAAAAACUAAAGAAACCCUAAUUUAAAAUUUGAAUAAAAUCGGCAGGGAAUCUAAAGAAAACCUGACUUGAAAAGCUUAAGAAAAUCGGUGUAAAUCUAUUAAAACGAGGCGUUGGGUUGUCAAAGAUAUACUCUGGGAUAUGAACGAUUCAAAAUAUUGCUAAAAAGUAAUAUAAAAGUUCUUAGCUAAAACUUUUAGAACUCGUACACAAAUGUAUGACUAUGUCACUUCUAUGAAAAUAACCAACUUUCAUCCAAGACCCUAACCAGUAGCUUCCGACUCUGGCCCCAGCCACAAAUGUACGAAAUUUUGCACUAGACUCAUCUACAUUCACAACUCACCCAUAGAUAGCUUCCGACUCCUAUGGGAUUACUCUUCUCACACUAGAUCUGGCAGAUAAUGAAACUUUCGCAACACUAAGUACCUAAAUCAGAUUAUAGUUCAUGAUACUCCCAUGCAUUAAAGUAAGUUUAAAAGAAAAAAUUCUAGGAUUUCGCUUAAUAGCUCAUUCAAUCCUCAUCAAACAUAUAGAUCCCCAUAGAAAAUUCCUUAAACCCAACAAGUAAACUACUCAGACAUAAUUAAAGAAAGCAAAAACAUUGUAAUGAAAAGCUGUAUUGAAAUCGAUAUUGAAGAAGAAACAAAACAAAAAGGGUUCAAGAGAUAUAUAAGGAAAACGACCAAUUCCUACCUCAACUGUUCCAAAUGGUGCGGAUUCAUACCUGACAAAUUAACUUGCCCGAAUUCAUAUCCGAACUCCUAUAAACCAGAAAAUUCAUACAUGUACUCUUAAUGUUUUGGCGAAUAAAGAUAUUGACCUGUUUUUUGUUAGUUAACGAUCUCAUUCCGUUAACGGGCCGUAGUCACGUGGCACGUAGACUGUACUGUUGGUACUAGAGGUUAAAACGACGUCGUUUAAGUAUUUGAAAAAAAAAUUGAACAAAACAACAUCGUUUUAACAUUCAAGAACAUUUUUUUAAAUAUCAAAACGACGUCGUUUAAAUUAAUAAGAACAAAAAAAUAUAGCAAUACAACGUCAUUUUAAUUAAUGAGAACCAGAAAAAAUGAUAACACGAUGUCGUUUUGAAAAAACUUGAGAAAUAAAAAUUUAGCUUCUCCGAAGGAUUCUUUCGUCGAUUUGAGAAAAAAGAGCCCGAAAUAAGGUUUGAGAUUCAUAGAAAAUCAGAGUAUAAAUUCUUGAUAUCGAUGGAAAUAGAAGAAAGAUAAGCCGAUUUUGACUUAUAGGUUUUGAUUUUUUUAAUUGUUCUUUAGUAAUAGUUGAAUCCUAAAGGAAUUGUUUAAUGGAUGCAGUGAUAUAACAGAUUGCUUCUUACUCAUAAACCAUGGGGGGAAGUUUGAGAAAUUUUCAACCGGCAUUCUCCAUUACGCAGGUGGCUGUUCUUCUCUAGUUUUGAGAUAGAGCUCGGGGAAGAAAAAGAUUUAGUUCUUUAUAUUUUUUUGUAAAAAAACACGAUGUUGUUUUGUUUUUUUUUUCUUAGUAAAUGUUAAAACGACGUCGUUUUAACUUCUGGUGCCAACAGUGCAGUCUACAUGGCACGAGACUAUGGUCCAUUAAUAGAAUGAGAUCGUUGACUAACGUGAAAUAGGUCAAUAUCUUUAUUCGCCAAAAAAUUAUUAGUACAUGUAUGAAUUGUCCGGUUUUUAAGAGUUUAGGUAUGAAUUCGGGUAAGUAAAUUUGUCAGAUAUGAAUCCGCACCAUUUGGAACAGUUGAGGCAGGAAUUGAUCAUUUUCCCAAGAUAUAUCUUUAUCUCCCUAAACCUAAAAAACAAUAUAAAGUAUUCUAAAACUCUAAAAAAUCUCUUAGCAUAGCCUAACACCAACACACGGUUUAGGGUUUCUAAAACAUGUAUUUAUAUGUCUCCAAGUCAUACUUGGACGUCAUUUAGGGCUUUUUCAAAGAAAAAAAUCGAUUGGGCUUGACAUUGAGCUUCUUGGGUUUGAACUUUGAUUCUCCGUGGUCAGGAGGUCUCUGACCGUGGGAAACCAAGUGUUGGUCGUGGUCAACAAGGCUGGACUCUUUUAUCCUCUUACCACUAUUUGUUGAUCCUGAAUGGCUAGUUCAUCUUUAACUGGUUCCCCACCUUACCCAACCACUUUCAAAUGACAUGCACUCUUGUUUUUCAUUGUCCUAUAUGCAGAUAUGUGCAAAAACUUCGGAGAGAAAGAGGAACAACGCAGUUUUCGGUCACUGAAGACGGAGACCUGCGAUUUCUGGAAUGAUUCAACAAAGGAAGAAAGCUUGGUUUGCCUAAAAAAAAACUUCAAAACUUUGGUAUAUUUUCGUCCCUUAGACUCUCUCUCUCUCUCUCUAAAAGUGUUUCCCCUUUAAAAAAAAGGAGAAAUAAAAACCUUAGUGAGUCUAAGAGGAUCGAUGAGGCAAGCUUUGGUUCAAUUAUUUGAAUUUUGGGAGAUUAUCUUAUUGAUUCCCGGAAAAUAUCUCAGUCUGGGGGAAGUAGCAGUUUACAGAAAAGGAGAAAGGAUUAUGCAACAACACCUGGCAAGGAGAAGUGACUGAAAUUGUUGACAUUAACAAGUCCAUUCUCUCUUGUGGUUUCGCAUAAUAUCUAACAGCCUCCAGAUCUUCAGGUAAUCUUAAACAUUUUAACUUCACCACCUAACUACCCCUUAAUACCAAAAGCCAUCUACCUGAAUGAUGUCUUUGAUGCGAAGUUCACGCCAUACACUUAAUGAAUGUAGAGAGCUAACUGACUGGAAUCGAGAUUUAGAUUGUUUAGAUUUUGCAUGACGGAAACCGUGGACUAGUAUCUUUUGUGUCUUAGUGAGAAUUAUCUAGACUAGGUUGUGAUUUGAUGUACAAUCGAUGGUCGUUGUUUAGAGGUUCAUGUCUCUGAAAUUUAUGCAUUUCCUAUUUUUGUUUUCACUUUUCUUUACUUUGAUUGUUGCUUUGUUUGAGGACAAACAAAUGUUUAAGUCUAGGGGAGUUGAUAACACCGUAUUCUGACUACUUUUAUGGAUCGUUUUUAAAUGCUUUUCAAAUGUUUUUUUUUGAAGUGUUUUUAUUAUGGGUUUCUAGUAUUUGUAGCGUCAAGACUAUUUUUUAGGAAACUUAGACAAAAGCUUUGUAAAUUGGAUAGAAGACCAUAUUUUCAGCGUAGAGUCAAACUGUCAGAAGUUCACAGAUAAAUGAAGACCUUCUCACUGUCUGAUCCAACACAAAUUUGGAGACCUUAAAGAUGGAACAUCUAUCUUUCCAGCACACUCGACAUAAGAACAAUCCAACAGUUCAAUUAAAAGUUAUGCAAAGAUCAAGAUGUCCAGUCAAGAUGGAGGCUAGCUUCCCAGACUGCAGCCAGCACAUGUUUUACCAUGGUCAGAGAGCUCCUGACCGUGGAGAGUUAACGUUCAGACCCAAGAAGCCCAAUUUCAAGCCCAUUUGAUUCAUAUCUUUGAGGAAGCCCUAAGUGACCUCAAGGCUUGACUUGAAGACAUAUAAAUCCUUGUUUUAAGAACCCUAAACCGUGUGCUAUGUUAUUUUAAAUGUUAGGAGUUCUUAGCUUUUCAUAUUUUUAUUUUGUUUUAGGUUUAGGGAGAUAGAGAUAUCUCUUAAACCCUUUUUAAUUCUUCUUCAAUAUCGAUUUUUUUACAGCUUUUCAAUACAUUUUUUUUGCUUUCAUUAGUCAUGUCGCAGUAGUUUACUUGUUGGGUUUAAAGGAACUUUUGAUGGGUAUCUAUAUGUUUUAUGACGAUUGCAUGAGCUAUUAAGCCGAAUCCUAAAACUUUUUCUUCUAAACAUACUUCUUAUGCAUAAGAGUAGCGUCAUGAACUAUAAUCUGAUUUAUGUACUUAGUUGUGAGAGUUUUCAUUAUCUGCCAGAUCUAGUUUGAGAAGAGAAAUUCUGCCAUAGGAGACAAAAGCUACCUAUGGGUGAGUUGUGAAUGUAGAUGAGUCUAGUGCAAGAUUUCAUAUAUCUGUGGUUGGGGCCAGAGUCGGAACCUACUGGUCAGUGUCGUGGAUGGCAGUUGGUUAUGAUCACAAGAGUGACGUAGUCAUGCAUCCAUGCUCGAGCUCUAAGAGUUUUAGCUAGGAUCUUUUAUAUUACUUUUUAGCAAUGUUUUGAAUCGUUCAUACCCCGGAGAUAUUCCCUAACAACCCAGCGCCUCGUUUUAUAAGUUUUACACCGAUUUUUCUCAAGUUUUUUACAUUAGGUUUUCUUUAGUUUUUCAAUCGUUUUUCUUAAGCAAUUUUUCUUUUUCCUGUUUAGUUCAGGAUUUACGUUUUUAGUGACACCAAAACCCUAUAAAAAUCGCUUAAAUUUUAGACUUCCUUACAAAAUCUCUUUCAAAAGUUUUUGCAGAAAAGAUCCUCAUUCCCUGUGGAUUCGUUCCUAAGUACUUCGACUGAUUAGUUGUGCACUUGCAGCUGUCGUUGUUUCAAUUAGGGUAAAACUUGUUCCCCACACCACACACACAUCAACCACUUGGACCUACUUUUUCUAAUCCUCGGACUCAUCAUCAUCGAACUCACAUGAAAAAUAAGAGAGAGGUGAGUAAUUGGAGAAUCACACAGUGAGAAAUAAACUUACACCAUCACCACAUCUAUCCAUCAUUCCCAACAUGUCAAGCUAAAUGUAAACAAGAAAAAAAACAGUACUCUACAAGCACACAAACAAUUCACAAACACGGGAAACCCACCGAGCCCGAAGCUCAUAUCACAUUUCAUUUCAUUUUCUUAUUUAAUCACAUAGACAGGCUCGUAGUUCGCCAUAACCACCUGAUGAUGAGAACCAACCUGCACUUCAAGUUUGAUCCCCAGCAUACAAUAUCCGUACCACCGUGUCCCUUCAAAGUGAUGAUCACCUAUCUCGAACUAACUAAAUUACAAUCACUAAUCACGCAACGAGUGAUCAAUCAUUCAUGCUGGUUUUUUCGCUAAUGUUUCCUUAUUCUGAAUUCAAUCAAUUCAUGGAUAUAACUUAAUGUAUAAACCAAAACGUUUCCAUACUCCGUAACACGAAGCAACCUGAAUAGAUCUAGACUCGACACACUAAAAACAAUGUAUAAACGCAGAAAUAAGCCUAGAUCUACUCCUCACCUUGACCAUUGUGCAGAUAUGGAUCAAAGCGGACGAGUAACAAAGGUAUCGAGCAAAAAAUAAGAAAGCUGUCGGUGACUUUUUCUCUUUCCGGCGGUGGUGACGCAGCGCACAGCAGUGGCGGUGGCGACGGCAGUGGACAGCAGCGGCUGGUCAAACUGCGGCUGGCGGCAGCGACUGGUCGGUGAUAGAAGCUCUCUCAUGUCUCAGAAAUCUCUCUCUCUCUCUCUCUCUCUCUCUCUCUCUCUCUCUGGGUGGCUGCAAAUGAGAAU